AACCGGACAAAAAAAGCCGACGGGUCCCCGCCCUCACGGGUCAGGGAGACCGAUCCAUGCCGCCGCCUCACUCCGCCGCUACCCAAACACGUCCACCGCCACCGGCAGCUUCCCCUCUGUACAAACACAACUCGUGGUCGCCGGACAUACUCCGAGAUGAAGAAUGGCUCAAGCGGAAGGACAACCACCACCUCCGCCGUCGUCUCAGGAACAAAAGCGUCACCGAUGAGGAUAUCGAUGAGCUCAAAGCUUGUAUCGAGUU
rnacentral:lncRNA from 1 species